rnacentral:rRNA from 1 species
UGGGGAAUAUUGGACAAUGGGGGCAACCCUGAUCCAGCAAUGCCGCGUGUGUGAAGAAGGUCUUCGGAUUGUAAAGCACUUUCGACGGGGACGAUGAUGACGGUACCCGUAGAAGAAGCCCCGGCUAACUUCGUGCCAGCAGCCGCGGUAAUACGAAGGGGGCUAGCGUUGCUCGGAAUGACUGGGCGUAAAGGGCGUGUAGGCGGUUUACACAGUCAGAUGUGAAAUCCCCGGGCUUAACCUGGGAGCUGCAUUUGAUACGUGUAGACUAGAGUGUGAGAGAGGGUUGUGGAAUUCCCAGUGUAGAGGUGAAAUUCGUAGAUAUUGGGAAGAACACCGGUGGCGAGGGCGGCAACCUGGCUCAUGACUGACGCUGAGGCGCGAAAGCGUGGGGAGCAAACAGGAUUAGAUACC